rnacentral:misc_RNA from 1 species
AGCUUUCGGCCAGAGCUGACGACCUCCCUCCCAAGCCCAAUGCUAAAGCCCGUGCUUGACGAACGCCGGCAGCCCAGCUAACUGAGGAGCCAACACAGAGAAGUGUAGCUCACUGAACGGGUGUGAAGUGCAGUGCCUUAUAAAAUAAAAUUAUCAAAUAUACUCGUGUUUGUAUAGUACGUGGGAUUACGAUUACGAUACAUCUGGAAUGUUUGAGUGAAAUUUCCCAAUGAUCAGUGAUUUUUGCCAGAGCCAUCGACGGAUUGUUACUUUCUCGGCUAAUGGUUUUGUAAUGAAUUGAAUUGUUGCUAAUCGCAACGAUUUUGCUUUCAGAACAAUUUUUUUUUCACUUAUUUUUUUGGUUAUGCAAAUUGGCCGUGUUUUUCUUGGUGAAUUUGGUAUUAAUUACUCAUAUUUUUGUUGUUCUCGCGCACAGACGGGAAAAAUAAUAUAUACUCGUGUAUAUCUAUAAGAACGAGAAACACAUUUCUUGUAUGCAAAUUAAAUGAGUUGCUUAUUGUGCAGUCCGAAGAAUCCAAAAGAAUAUUUUUCGCCCCUUGCAAGUGUACAAAACAUACAAAAGUAAAAAGUAAUAAUAAUAAUCACAGCAGACUCGGUCCCAAAAAAAUUCAAAAUUGAACCUGUUCUGUUAUAGACCUGCGUUGGAGUUACGGAGGAAUCACGCGGCCGUGGGGACACUUUGAGAUUGAGUUCAUUGAUUGAACGUCCCAGCGCUGCGUCAUGUUGUUGCUGCCAUCGCAAUCAUGUCCAGCAACAACAGGAACAACAACCACUACAAGCAACUACGAAAACUAAUUUGCAAAAAUCAUAAAAACAAAAUCAGAAUCACGAGACAAUAAACGCAGACAGUAUAACUCUAUCAAGCUGGUAUAAGAUCAAAGUGGAACAAAAUCCAGCAGCAGUUACAAACGCAAGAAUAGCUGAAAAAUUUCAGUAUAUUUUUGGUUCACACUAAAACAAGACAACUGAGAAACCGCACUGGAAGAGUAACAGCAACAAGAACCACUAAAAGAACCACAAGCACAAGUGUCUCCAUUUUCUUGUGCGAAAAACCAUUCUGUGAUAUCUCAAGACCCAAAGAUGGCAUCGUUAACCUUGCACUUGAUAGUGAUAACUCUUCUGGCGGCGGCAGCUAUGACAACGGUAACAGCAGCAACGCGGCAGCGGGGCAGAGGAAAAGCAGCAGCAUCCACGACUAGCACCGAAGUGCCAACGCUGCGGGCGCCCCGACAGCGCCGUCCGCCCACUACGCAAUCAAUUGAAAUCCAGUUGUUCUCGAGUCGCAGUCGGAGUCUGAGCCGCAGCAGCAGCAGCAGCACCACCACCACCAGCAGCCCGCCCUUGCCACAAACAUCAGAUAAUAAGCAGCAGCAGCAGCAGCAGCGUCGCCGCUUCACUACCACAUCGACAACAACUACAACAGUCGCACCUUCGGCGAAGACCCUGCGGGACCGGGGAAGCGUGAGAGGUGCGCGUCAGCCCCGCGACACGCCCGCGCUGAGCAGCGUCAGCGAAUUCGGUGGCAGCAGCAACAGCAUCAGCCGCAGCUGGGGCCAGCCGCAAGCUCUACCCAGCAGUGCCAUUCCUUCUGUCCACAUCGCCAAUACUGCCACUUCCGAUUUCGCAUCCACAUCUAGUUUGGCUUCUCGAGGCGGCGCGUUAAAAACGCCGCGCAUGAUCCAGAGAUUAGUGGCUGGACACAUACAAAAUGCGCAGGGACAUUCCACCUACGAGGUGUCGGCGGUGAGUGCCAAUAGCUCACACUCGGCCUCCACUUCCCUGCCAACAACGACCACAGCCAAAUCCACACCCACGUCGAACUCACGGGGCAAUGGCAAGGCAAGCAGCAGCUAUCGUCUCGCCAAGCCAUAUCCAACACCGCCACCAUCCCCAUCCCUCCCAAACCCUGAUGACAACGACAACGACGAUGACGAGGCGUUGCUGAAUGAGGCAGAUGACUUCGACAACUGGGACAACGGGAUUCUUCGGCUGAGUGCGGGGUCGGGGAAGGAAGCCGAGGCGCCGUCAAAGAAGCCGCUCAAGGAGGACGCGAAAAAGACGCUGGCCGACCAGGUAAGGGAUGGCAAGUACGGGCUGAUUGAGAAGGAGCUGUUUCGCCGCAUACCCAAGCGACCAGGGGUGUUGAGCUAUGCCCGAAACUCCGAGGUGCCGCUGGAUAAUGAACGUAACUACGGGGGACUCAGCGAGCAGGACAUCUGGCUUUCUGAGGAUCACCUGCUUGUGAUCAAGGGAGGCAGCCUUAAUGAGGAUGAGGAUCAUGGCGGGGGCCAAUGGCCGCCCAUAGACGAUUACGAUGCGCCACCGCGACAAAUUAAGCUGCCAGCAAAUCCAGCGGUUCCGCCUCCCUUUCCCGUGCAGCUCGAGCCGCAUGGGCCGCUGCAGAUUAUCCGAGAUAAUCAACUCGAGAUCCUCCAUCCGCCGCCUGGCAAUGCAACGCUAUCCGCUGACCUACCCAAGCAGGCGUCCAACCAGGGCUACGCUCCCACCCCGGCCCACACGGCGCAUCCUUCUUCCCGGGCGGGAGCGACAACAGCGUCUAAGGCAACUGCGCCCCCCUACGUCUAUCCGGCGCCCUAUGCCCAGUGGCUGCUAUACCCCAAUGAAACGACCCCGGGCAAUGGCCUGCUGAGUUCAUCGCCUCCACUGUUGGGGCCCUGGCUGAUAAACGGGCUGCAUGGCAACGGCUCCCUGACAGGGAAUACUGCAGCUCUUCCUGGGAAUGGCAGCGAUUUCGAUGAGGACGACCCUUCACUUUAUUAUCCGCCGGCCUAUAGCUUUGUGUACAAAAGUAAUUACUCAAAUCCGGUGCCGCCGGGUCCGCUAGUUCCUGGGAUUGUCCUACCCCCUCCGCCAGAUCAUUUUAGCCGCUUGGACAUCCAUUCAACGACCACCACUCGCAGACCCACCACAAGCAGCACCAUCUCCACCACCACCACAACCACCACCAGCACAACCACGCCACAUCCACCUACGUCUCCACUACCGCUCAGGACAUCGUACAAGCCCAAAUACAAUGCCAUCAGCUACCUGCCGACUUCUCGCCAGCACCACCCUGCUCCAAAGUAUGUUGAGCGGGUGCCAGUGCCCGUGGCGGUUCCCAUACCCAUCUACCCCAUUAACUACACGCCCAGGCCCGAGGCCAAGCUUGUGUUUGUGCCCAGUUCCACGGAGGGCAAGGCCCAGGAUAUGGAUCCGCCGCUCUCAAAGUCCAACCCCAUCUACUACGAGUACUUCGAGGCUAAGCGCCAGCCGGGGUCGAUCAAGUCCAAUGUUAUCGAGGACUUUCUGCCCACCAAAUCACCGAAGCGCCAUCACCUUCAUCAUCAUCUUCACUACAAGGCAUCGGUCGGUCCGUCCAACGACGUGACAGAUGUUGUGAACAUCACUCCAAAGCCGCGGAACGCCCAGCUUCAGCUAAAUGCGGAGUACGAUGCCGCCCUGGGGCAGCUUCUGAGGAGCAACCUCAUAUCGGCAGCACCAGCAACAGGAGCAGCCACCGUAACUGGUCGCUUUCAUGCACCAGACUUUGACAAACAGCCCUUCCUGCCCAUGGUUAACUACAGUGCAGACGAACAAGACCAGAAUGCCUUUAAGGCCAUCGUAUAUCAGCCUCCCCCGUCCCGCCAGCGACAGCUGAGGGUGGGAAAGCAGCAGCAACAGCAGCAGCAGCAGCAGCUUCAGCUGGACACCACGGAUGACUCCUAUCUACCCGAACGGCAACUGAGAGUAGGCAAGCUGCAGCAGCAGCAGCAGCAGGUCUACGACUCCCAAAUCUUCAGCACCCCAGGGCCACACUACGUUGACGAUCAGGUCAGGGGAGGAGUCCAUCUGCGUCCUCCUGCUCCUGUUCCUGUUCAGACAGGUGCGUUGCAGUUCUGGCAGCGUCCUCCGCCCCAGUUCAAGCGCGUGCGGCAAGGAAGUAAGCAUCCGCAUCCUCAUCCGCACCUACACCCUUAUCCACCGUACUUCGUGCCCAGUUAUCCAAGUGCCCCGGCCGGAGAGCCUCUCUAUCGUCUGGUACCUGUGGCCCAGCACAAACACUGGCGCACUAAGCCUCAACAUCCUCUCCAGCAGGCCCAGCAGCAGUCGCAGCCCAUUCAGGUGCCUCCCCACGCGCAGUCCUAUCCGGACAGGGCCGUCAACAUUGGGCAUAGCCUGGCCGGCGACAUCUUGGUCAACUACAACAGCAACAAUCAGUUUAACCCCCAGGCGGAGUUAGUGCCUCAGGCUCAGUUGGCAGCGCCACCGCCACCGCCUCUGUCUUACCAGGCCCAGAGUGGCCAGGGUCUGGGGGGUCCGCUCUGGUCGGAGCGUGAGAAGCCGGCGCGGCAGCCACGUGCCCAGUAUACUGAGCAACAGCAACAGCAGCAGCAGCAGUAGACGAUGGAGAUAAAGAUGGUUUCUAUGUCAUUGAUAAGCGUAAUGUCAAAAUGUGAUCUAUGGGGAGGACAAUCCAACAGUAAGCCCAGCUUUUCCCAAAAUUAAAUUAGAGUAUUGCUGAUGCUGAUUUUGCCUCAUUUUCGAUUCUUCUUUUCCAUGUAUUCAAAGUUCUCCAUUCCGACCAAAGUAUUUCAGUGGCACAUUCCUUGUCAGUGGAUAAGUAGAGAUAGUUUUAUCUGUUUUAUCCAACGCGUCCGUCUUUGUCCGUCAGAUCUGAUGGCAAUGGUUUUACAAUGCACACAGCUGGCAUUGAGGCUACACAUAUGUAUGUAUGUACUUUGUUCCCAUUUCUUCUUUCCGAUACGACAACAUCAGCAUACCCGGAUCUGGCUCCAUAGCCUUCCUUUCAAUGGGGAGGCGCAAGUAAUUAGUGAUGGAAAAUGAGGAAAGAACUAAUGUUCUUCAUUCCUUACAUCGACUUCUUCCCUUCCAAACGUUAUAAACUUGCUCCCCGAGUUAUAUUCUACAAAUUAUAAAUAAAUAUAUUAUGUAGAGCUGGUCAUUUAAGAUAAAUUAUAAUUUGAGGCCUGUUCACUCGCCUCAUUUGUGACAAGCAUCGAUAUACGUAUCGCGUAUCGCUUACAGGGUUACACAUCUAUCCAAACUGGAUGUGCGCUUCAAGGCUUUUAGCUAAUAUGCAAGAUACACAGAUAUCUAUAUAUGUAUACAUAAAUAUGUAUAUAUAGCAACAUGAUAAAUAUUCGUGAACCUAUGUGAACGAUGAAGUGUACGCAAAAUAAUCGAUGAAAGUUAUUCGUGCAUUGCACAAAACCUAGUUUAAGGGAGAAAAACGGAUAAUUUUCUUUGUAUGAUAUCCUUAAUUUUCUGUUCAAUCCUGUUUAUACACACAUGCUAUACCACAUACACUAUAUGUACUAUUUAUUGUUUCCCUUUGAAUGUUUUCAAAAUCCAUGCGAAAUUUUGUAUAAAAGCCAUAACAACUAAGGUCACUGUAAGUUACUAGAAACGCUGCAACAAUCACGUUAUGCAACUAAUAAACAUGAUAAAUAAUCGUACGCAAAUACCAUAUGUUAAAAUUUAAACAAUUAGAUAUACGACCUUUUUUUUAAAUUUUAUCAU